AUUGAACGCUGGCGGCAUGCCUUACACAUGCAAGUCGAACGGUAGAGUAGCAAUACUCGAGAGUGGCGAACGGGUGAGUAAUAUAUCGGAACGUGCCCAGUCGUGGGGGAUAACGUAGAGAAAUUUACGCUAAUACCGCAUACGAUCUAAGGAUGAAAGCGGGGGAUUCGCAAGAACCUCGCGCGAUUGGAGCGGCUGAUAUCAGAUUAGGUUGUUGGUGAGGUAAAAGCUCACCAAGCCGACGAUCUGUAGCUGGUUUGAGAGAACGACCAGCCACACUGGGACUGAGACACGGCCCAGACUCCUACGGGAGGCAGCAGUGGGGGAAUUUUGGACAAUGGGCGCAAGCCUGAUCCAGCAAUGCCGCGUGCAGGAUGAAGGCCUCGGUUGUAACU
rnacentral:rRNA from 1 species